GAUGAAGAACGCAGCGAAAUGCGAUAACUAAUGUGAAUUGCAGAAUUCAGUGAAUCAUCGAGUCUUUGAACGCACAUUGCGCCCCCUGGUAUUCCGGGGGGCAUGCCUGUCCGAGCGUCAUUGCUGCCCUCAAGCACGGCUUGUGUGUUGGGCUCCGUCCCCCCGGGGACGGGCCCGAAAGGCAGCGGCGGCACCGAGUCCGGUCCUCGAGCGUAUGGGGCUUUGUCACCCGCUCUGUAGGCCCGGCCGGCGCUUGCCGAUCAACCCAAAUUUUUAUCCAGGUUGACCUCGGAUCAGGUAGGGAUACCCGCUGAACUUAAGCAUAUCAAUAAGCGGAGGA
rnacentral:misc_RNA from 1 species